GGGCGCGGCUUCCGGGCGCCCACUUCGAAACGGCAGAGCGUCGCCGGCCCCGCCAUGACGCAGUCGGUGGUGGUGCAGGUGGGACAGUGCGGGAACCAGGUGGGCUGCCGGUUCUGGGACCUGGCGCUGCGGGAACACGCCACCGUCAACAAGAAAGGAAUUUAUGAUGAAGCCUUAAGCAGCUUCUUUAGGAACGUAGAUACAAGAAGUGGUGGUGACGGUCCUGGUAUUUACAAAGGAAAAAUCUGCUCUUUAAAAGCACGAGUAAGGCAAUCUAUAAAGGCACUGUUGAUUGACAUGGAGGAGGGUGUGGUAAAUGAAAUUCUGCAGGGACCAUUGAGGGAUAUGUUUGAUAGCAAGCAGCUUAUCACAGAUGUUUCUGGUUCAGGAAACAACUGGGCUGUAGGUCAUAAGCUAUAUGGCUAUCAGUACCGGGAAAACAUUGUGGAAAAGCUGAGGAAAACCGCGGAACAUUGUGACUGUCUGCAGUGUUUCUUUAUAAUUCAUUCCAUGGGAGGUGGGACAGGAUCUGGUCUUGGAACUUUUGUACUAAAUUUGCUUGAGGACGAAUUCCCAGAAGUGUAUAGAUUUGUUACUUCAGUUUAUCCCUCUGGUGAAGAUGAUGUUGUUACUUCUCCAUAUAACAGUGUUUUGGCUAUGAAGGAGCUUAAUGAACAUGCAGACUGUGUGUUACCAGUAGAGAAUGAAUCUCUGUUUGAUAUAGUUAAUAAAAUUAAUCAGAUGAUCAAUUCUGGGAAGCUGGGGUCAACCUUGAAGCAAAACAGCUUGGUAACAUCAAGUGCAGGCAGUGUAAAAACUCUCCAAGAGAAGCCAUUUGAUGCAAUGAAUAAUAUCGUAGCCAACUUGCUGCUGAACCUGACAAGCUCUGCUAGAUUUGAAGGUUCCCUAAACAUGGAUCUUAAUGAAAUCAGUAUGAAUUUGGUUCCAUUUCCUCGACUUCAUUAUUUGGUUUCAAGCUUGACUCCUCUGUAUACGUUGGCAGAUGUUAAUGUACCUUCUAGAAGGUUGGAUCAGAUGUUUUCAGAUGCAUUUAGUAGAGAUCAUCAACUAAUUCAAGCAGAUCCAAAGCACAGCCUCUACCUUGCCUGUGCACUUCUUGUUCGAGGAAAUGUGCAGGUUUCAGACCUUUGCCGAAAUAUUGAAAGGUUAAAACCUUCUCUGCACUUUGUUUCCUGGAAUCAAGAGGGCUGGAAAACUGGUUUGUGUUCAGUACCUCCUGUGGGCCAUUCCCAUUCACUUCUGGCUUUAGCAAACAACACCUGCGUAAAACCAACUUUCAUUGAACUCAAGGAGAGAUUUAUGAAGCUCUACAAGAAAAAGGCUCACCUUCACCAUUAUCUGCAAAUAGAUGGGAUGGAGCAAAGCUGUUUUUCUGAAGCUAUGUCCUCAUUGUCUGAUCUAAUAGAAGAGUACAAUGAACUGGAUGUGACAAAAGGUGGGCCUAGAACAGACCCAUCAAGACUGAAGAUAGCUGUUUAAAGAAGGAAAAACUGCUCUUUAUUUUUUUGUUUAAAAAGAAUGAAACACUUCCGUAAGCAUCCAGCCACUUCAGUUAACCAGAAUGACUUGCAGCAUGCCUGACUGUUGUAAUUUCAAAGUGGGACCAGGAUAAUGGCUUUCUCAGCUCAAGAGUUGUCAUAUUAAGUGAUAAGCCCUGCCUGUAAGAAAGAUUUGACAGCACCUAAUUAUAGCUGAUAUCAGUAAGAGCAGUAAUCCUAACUGUGGAGUAAAUUGACACACCAUAUGCUGUGAAGAGAAGGAAAAGAGGUUUUAGCAGCCAAAAAUGUAAUUCUUUUCUCAGACUUUACAGUAAACUAAAGGACUUUGAGUUCCGAAAACAUAUCUCCUGGAGCUCUGCAAAUCCUCUGACAUACGCACGAUGUUAUCCACAUCAUCUUCCACUUGAAGAAGCCUUCAUUGGGACACUCAAACUGUACAGUGAUCAUUUUGGACUUAUUAGGUCCUGGAGCAGGGUGUCCAGGGAGUUGCCUGUACAAGGCACUUUUUCUUCAAGACUAGCGGUAAGCUUCUGUAAGCUAAGACAGCAAUAUAUUAUUUGUGCAGCAGAACAGACCCAAAAGGAUGAAUUGAAAAUACAAGGAUAAGACUUUGAUUUCUGUUCCUGAAGGUACUUCUGGAGAUAAACGUAGAAAUGAGACAUAAAUAACAUUAUUCAAAAGCCAGCUGAGCUGCUGUUAAACUUUACCGACACUGGAUACUCAGAUCCUAAUGACUGGUUCCAUAAUUAAGUGGAGGCACACACAGCACUUGGCCACUAUACAACGUAAGGCCUGGGAGCCCCUCUCAUCAAGCAGCUCUGACUGCCCAAAGAGCAAAAGGGCAAGACAAGAUCCAGCCCCUCAUCAGGUACCAGUAUCACCAUCAAGCUUGCAGAAAAAAAAUAAAAUAUGUAGCCUAUAUUUUUUUUCUGGGCAUGUGAAGCCCAACCUAUCAGUUUUUCUCUGUUCCUCCAAACCGCAGGGCUCUACUGAUAUAGAAAUCACCUCCAGCAGAGAUACUGAGGGAAAGCUCAGGAAGGGGUCAUUCAGCUGGGUUUCCUUUCUGCUCAACUUUCAAACUGCAAAUCUCUGCAGAAUUCAGCAUUUCAUAUGUCAUAGCCCAUGGAAGCUCUCACACUAUAAUUUACUGCAUGCAGCAGUAAAUGACCUUUUAAAAGCCUUUUUUCUAGCACUAAUUUCCAUUUUUCGUGGUCAUUUACAACUAUACUUAAGAUAUCUUAAUCCACAGCUACUAAUGAAGCUCCAAAGUAGUAGCUUUCAAGUUCCUUUGGCUGAAUGAUUUUUAAGAUAGAUAUUAAUUUACACAGGCAAUUCUUAUAGGAAAUGAAAAUUGAAGAAUGUCGUGUGGCAUUCCAUGCAGCAUGAAGAAGAUAGUUUAAUAAAUGUGUAAUUUUGCAAAAGGAUUUCUUCUAAUCCUUUCUACCUAAAUGCAGCAAUGAUAUAGAAGCAACUAACUUAAGUGUACUUUUUUUUAGGCAGCUAAGCAUUUCCUAUAAACCAUAAUGUUAAUUUGAUGAACAUGUGCAUUGAAAUGUAAAGCUUCUUGAAGGAUCAUUAUGGAAACAAGACACACAGGUGUACCUAUACAUUUAGCAGUAUUCAAGACUGUAUGGUCAGUUUAGGAAACACUUCCUUGCUGGUUUUUUUCUUUUUAAGCAGAGUAUUAUUAUUAUUAUUAUUAUAAUCUGGCCAUGUGCCAGCUAUAUGAGGUUAUGUGGCUUGAGUCAGACACCACAUUUCAAAAUGGGUAUGUGUAGCAGGAAGUAAUCUUACGUGCUUCAGCCAAUAUGUUUAAUUUGUAUUACAAAUUAAAGAAUGCUUUAAACCUACAGAAUUCUACCUAAGUGAUUUUUCUCUCUUCUUUUAGGAGAAGAUGUCAACUGAAAGGUGUGAGACUACAAAGUUCCCCAGUAAGAAAAAACACCAUCAGGCAAAUAUCUGACAGUUUUAGCAGUGGAAUUACCGAAAACUUUGGUUUAGCUGAAAAAUCUUGAAUAUUAAGUUACAAUGAAAAUGUAAAGUUUGCUUGUCAAGUUUACAGGUCAAAUAUUUUUCCAAUUUGUGCUUCCCCGAGUUUCUAUACCAAAGCUAUUCACAUCACAGAAGCCCCUUGCAUACUUUUCCUGAUCUUAUGGGCAGAUCAGAAAAUGAGACCAUUGUGUAGGUACCCUUCAUGUGUUGUUUGUUUUCUUAUGUGUUAAAGAUUGAACAAGGUCAGUAUGGCAUAAAUAAGCAAAGAGCAGAAGUAGGCAAUGUAUUAUCGCUAAUGUUCAGUUUUCUUAGUCUGGCUCUAAAUAUGCAGAAAGUUAGCGGAGGGAGACAAUCAUUUGAAAAUUCUCCAUUUGACACUCAUCUUGAUCAUAAAGGACAAAUUUUCAAAAUUGAGUAAAUAAAUAAUGAAACUGGCCUUUGACGCAAAUACCUUUACAAAAAGCUAUCACUUAAAAUUUUCUUAUAAGAGACAAAGCAUAACACAGCCCAGGUGCCUUUCUCUUUGUAAAACUAGCCUGAAGUCAGACCGCUGUGUGUAUGUAUACAUAUUUGCACACACAUAUAUACAUAGAUAUAUGAAAUAUGAGCAUAAGGAAUACUUCCUUAUGCAUCAGAUAAUCAUUUGUGCUUAAAUUUAAAAAAAAAAAAAAAAGGCAAGGUCACUGGCAAUUUAAGCUUCCCUAACACUUUUUUUCCCACUAAAUCAUAUUAAUGUACAGAGAGAAAAAAACCACCAAAAUCAGGACUGAUGCAGUAAAUAAGCUGCAAAUGAAAUUUACUCAGGAAUAGGGAAUGGCUGCUUAUUCUUUAUGAGGAAUUUGCUUCUCUGAAAUUUAAUUUGUUGUUAAGCAAAUAAAAACUUUUAACCAGAACAAGGU